GACGAACGCUGGCGGCGUGCUUAACACAUGCAAGUCGAACGCCUGUAGCAAUACAGGAGUGGCAGACGGGUGCAUAACACGUGGGAACCUACCCUUGGGUACGGAAUAACCUCGGGAAACUGCGGCUAAUACCGGAUACGUCCUCUGGGAGAAAGAUUCAUCGCCCUUGGAGGGGCCCGCGUCGGAUUAGCUAGUUGGUGAGGUAACGGCGUACCAAGGCGACGAUCCGUAGCUGAUCUGAGAGGAUGAUCAGCCACACUGGAACUGAGACACGGUCCAGACUCCUACGGGAGGCAGCAGUGGGGAAUAUUGGACAAUGGGGGCAACCUUGAUCCAGCAAUGCCGCGUGGGUGAUGAAGGCCUUCGGGUUGUAAAGCCCUUUUGGCAGGGACGAUGAUGACGGUACCUGCAGAAUAAGCCCCGGCUAACUUCGUGCCAGCCGCCGCAGUAA
rnacentral:rRNA from 1 species